AAUAGAUACCCCGGUAGUCCACGCCGUAAACGAUGAGUGCUAAGUGUUAGAGGGUUUCCGCCCUUUAGUGCUGCAGCUAACGCAUUAAGCACUCCGCCUGGGGAGUACGGCCGCAAGGCUGAAACUCAAAGGAAUUGACGGGGGCCCGCACAAGCGGUGGAGCAUGUGGUUUAAUUCGAAGCAGCGCGAAGAACCUUACCAGGUCUUGACAUCCUCUGCCAACCCUAGAGAUAGGGCGUUCCCCUUCGGGGGACAGAGUGACAGGUGGUGCAUGGUUGUCGUCAGCUCGUGUCGUGAGAUGUUGGGUUAAGUCCCGCAACGAGCGCAACCCUUGAUCUUAGUUGCCAGCAUUCAGUUGGGCACUCUAAGGUGACUGCCGGUGACAAACCGGAGGAAGGUGGGGAUGACGUCAAAUCAUCAUGCCCCUUAUGACCUGGGCUACACACGUGCUACAAUGGAUGGUACAAAGAGCUGCGAACCCGCGAGGGUAAGCCAAUCUCAUAAAGCCAUUCUCAGUUCGGAUUGUAGG
rnacentral:rRNA from 1 species